rnacentral:rRNA from 1 species
GGGUCAGUAGGUUGGUCGUGCCACCGGUACGUACUGGUCUCACUGAUUCCUCCUUCCUGAAGAACCGUAAUGCCAUUAAUUUGGUGUUGCGGGGAAACAGGACUGUUACUUUGAAAAAAUUAGAGUGUUUAAAGCAAGCUAACGCUUGAAUACAUUAGCAUGGAAUUAUGAAAUAGGACGAUCGAUCCUAUUUUGUUGGUUUCUAGGAUUGACGUA